CUUAAAAAGACUGCAAAUGAGUUUGCAUGUUCUCCCUGUUCUUGUGCAGGUUUACUCUGGGUACACCUGUUUCCUCCCACACUCCAAAGACCUGC